rnacentral:rRNA from 1 species
AUUGAACGCUGGCGGCAUGCCUUACACAUGCAAGUCGAGCGGCAGCGCGGGGGCAACCCUGGCGGCGAGCGGCGGACGGGUGAGUAAUUCAUCGGAACGUGUCCUUUCGUGGGGGAUAACCAGUCGAAAGACUGGCUAAUACCGCAUGAGACCUCACGAUGAAAGCGGGGGACCGCAAGGCCUCGCGCGAUUGGAGCGGCCGAUGUGGGAUUAGCUAGUUGGCGGGGUAAAAGCCCACAAAGGCGACGAUCCGUAGCUGGUUUGGGAGAACGACCAGCGACACUGGGACUGAGGCACGGCCCAGACUCCUACGGGAGGCAGCAGUGGGGAAUUUUGGACAAUGGGCGCAAGCCUGAUCCAGCCAUGCCGCGUGUGUGAAGAAGGCCUUCGGGUUGUAAAGCACUUUCGGCCGGAACGAAAUCGCGCGGAUUAAUAACCCGCGUGGAUGACGGUACCGGAAGAAGAAGCACCGGCUAACUACGUGCCAGCCGCCGCGGUAA